UGGGGAACGACGGCCCAAGGGUUUUGGUGUUGUCCAUUGGUACGGAAAGGGGAUGGAAAGAAAGGGAGCGAAUGGCGGUGACGGUGGUUAGGGUUACGGCGAUGGGAGAGAGAAAGGGCGUUGCCAUGGAAAUGCUCUUGAAGCGGCAAUUGAACGUGUGGAUUGCAAAAAACCUGAGGGGAUCCUGAUGGUAUAUUACGAUAGUAAUUACAUAGUUUUCAAUCUGAAUCUUAAACGAUUGCUGCUCGCAUUUCCGUUCUUGCUCUCUCUUUUUCUUGCCGUCUCUUCUCUGCUGCUUUGCUCAUUCGCUUCCUCAGGAGCCUUGUGAUGACGUUUUUCUGAAGGUUUCGCUCCGUCCUCUCUCUCCUUAAUCCUUUUGAAGAGGAACCAAUAAUUUUGUAGAAGUAUUAGCAAGCAUGGUGACAUUGCUACUAUAUUGUUGGAUCAUUCGGUCUUGAAACUUGAUUCAAAUUGUAAGAGUAACAUACAUUUGAGGCCAGUGCGAAGCCUCUGGCCAAUUGUGGCGCAUGCCAGGUAUAGAAAAAGGGGUUAACUUACAAAGGUGUAGUGACUCAUAAAACCAUUUUUUGGAACUCUUUCAUGCCUUUUGAGCUUGUCCACCACGCAUGAAGGAGAAAGAGUCGUAUUUGAGCUUAUUUAGCACAAUUUUGUGCUGAAUUUUCUAUUGCCUUGCCAUAGUUAUGGUAGGAUUAAAUUUAUUGGACUUUAGUGUCCUCUCUGUUAGAAACUGGAUUUCUUUUUCUUGUUAUCUUUGUUAUGUAAUUCUAUGCCCUCUGACCAAUGCUUGUUUAUUGGACUUUAUUGUCCUCUGUUAUAUUUCCAUGUAAUUGGAGAUGGAUUAUGGAAUUGUGCUGGUUAGCUUGAGAACAAAAAAUCUAAGUUGGUUUACAAUUAGGAAACUUCAACUAUCUUUGUGAAAAACAGAGAAACCCCUCUGAACUCUAGCUUCACUUAGUAGAUUGACUUAGUUGAUACCGUGGUCAAGGGCGAUAAGACUUCGUUUUAGAAACUCUAGCAACUAAUUUUAAACAUUUUUGUACUGUAGGUUGCAUUUCUUAUGCACAAUACACUUGCCCUUAGCCAACAGGCUUAGAGAGGUAUGAGGUUGCGUUCUUUGUGAAAAUGGACAUCUAGCGGAAUGUUAGGGUUGGUUCAUACAGGAGGAAACUGUGAUCAUAAAUUUAGGUUAUUCAUUCCAUCGUGUGUUAAUUUUCAUUUUCAUUUAUACUGAAAUAUAUUUAGGUAUUCUUGUUUACAUGCUGCAUCAUGGCCCUUUCUUUUUGUAUUUGUUGAUAUUUAGUGCAGGUAAUCAGAUUGUGAGUGGGCAAAAAAUCCAAGUUUAUCAUUUAUCGCUGAUACAUCCAAUUUAUUGACCGGAUCUCACAAUGAUUUGCUUGCACGUAUCCUGAAGCAACACAAGAGGAGAAGAUGCUUGAAGGAAAGGAAACACAAUUGUUUGUAAGCCUAUACCAUGAAAAUAAAGAUCGUGAUAAACAUAUUAUUCCUUGACCAGAAUAUUGUAAUUUUCAUGUAGGUGUUGUAAAUGUGUGAAUUGUAAUGUUAAUUGCUUUAAUUAUUUGUUUAAAUCAAUCUCGUGUUUUACUUAGUUCAUGGGAGGCUGCGGUGGUCGUGCAAUAUGAAGAACAGUGAAACUAAAUGAUUGGCCUGCGCCUUCCGAGGAGUAUGAAUUUUUGGUGCGUUAAAGUAAUGGAAGACUAUUAAGUGUGAGUGGAAAGCCAGCUUUAUAAAGAUGGCCUCUGAGCUGCCUGAUGCAUGCACCCCUUCGCACCAUUAUCGGGAUACGGAUACGUUUCAUCACCUGGACCUUCGUCUAAUUAUUUCUCUUACUCAUUAUAUAAUAAUACUUAUGUGUUGUGAUCUUAGUUAAGGAUAUUUGACUUAAAUCACUGAAGCUAUAUUCAGAUUGAUGCUUAAUUUUCACCAGUUUUUGACAACUGCGGAACUCCUCAUACAGGUAUAGAUGAACACCAUGAAUUGAAUUCAUUUUUCCUUAUUUUUUUUAAAGUUCUUAUGGCCACUAAGCCGACUCAUACUGUUAAGGUUGGUGCUUAAAUUUGAUUUGAUAUUUAUAGUUUUUUAUUUUCACACUUUGUUGAACAUUAUUGUUAAUGUUGGUGGUGCUUACUUGUAAUGGUCUGUUUUCAAGAUGAUCCUUCCUUUUCUAAAUGGAUCUACUUAACAUUGGGGAAAAUUGAUUGAGAAAUUUGCAGGAGGAUGACUUGAUCGGCCCUGUCGUUUGGGUGAAAUUUUUUACGGUAAAGCAAGGGUAUGCUCGAAUUUCGAGCAGUAGACUUUUGUAUUGAGUUCAAGGAAUCAUCUUCGGACACGUGGUUAUUUGAAGCUUACAGGAAAGGUCCCUUCUGCCCUUCCAUUUUCUGGUUGUAUAUAAUUCUAAGAAAAAAAAAGAAAAAAAAUCAUUUUUACUCCUUACUAUAAAUUUUUAAUUUCACUAAUUCGCAGUAAUAAAAGAUAGUUUUUG